rnacentral:rRNA from 1 species
UGGGGAAUAUUGCACAAUGGGGGAAACCCUGAUGCAGCGACGCCGCGUGAGCGAAGAAGGUUUUCGAAUCGUAAAGCUCUGUCCUAUGGGAAGAUAAUGACGGUACCAUAGGAGGAAGCCCCGGCUAACUACGUGCCAGCAGCCGCGGUAAUACGUAGGGGGCAAGCGUUGUCCGGAAUCACUGGGCGUAAAGGGUUCGCAGGCGGAAAUGCAAGUCAGUUUUGAAAGGCAGAGGCUCAACCUCUGUAAGCAAUUGAAACUGUAUUUCUUGAGAUGUGGAGAGGCAAGUGGAAUUCCUAGUGUAGCGGUGAAAUGCGUAGAUAUUAGGAAGAAUACCGGUGGCGAAGGCGACUUGCUGGACACAAACUGACGCUGAGGAACGAAAGCGUGGGUAGCAAACAGG